GACGAACGCUGGCGGCGUGCCUAAUACAUGCAAGUAGAACGCACAGUUUAUACCGUAGCUUGCUACACCAUAGACUGUGAGUUGCGAACGGGUGAGUAACGCGUAGGUAACCUGCCUGGUAGCGGGGGAUAACUAUUGGAAACGAUAGCUAAUACCGCAUAAUAUUAAUUAUUGCAUGAUAAUUAAUUGAAAGGUGCAAUUGCACCACUACCAGAUGGACCUGCGUUGUAUUAGCUAGUAGGUGAGGUAACGGCUCACCUAGGCGACGAUACAUAGCCGACCUGAGAGGGUGAUCGGCCACACUGGGACUGAGACACGGCCCAGACUCCUACGGGAGGCAGCAGGAGGGAAUCUUCGGCAAUGAACGAAAGUCUGACCGAGCAACGCCGCGUGAGUGAAGAAGGUUUUCGGAUCGUAAAGCUCUGUUGUAAGAGAAGAACGGGUGUGAGAGUGGAGAGUUCACACUGUGACGGUAUCUUACCAGAAAGGGACGGCUAACUACGUG
rnacentral:rRNA from 1 species